UUGUGGAGGAGGACGCCGAAGGUGGGGCUAAUGACUGGGGUGAAGUCGUAACAAGGUAGCCGUACCGGAAGGUGCGGCUGGAUCACCUCCUAACAGGGAGACAACAAAAUGUUUAAUAUUAUUAUUUUGUCACCUUAGGUCGAUCGGUAUCUCCCGUUCUUAAACUAAUUAAGAAUUUCAAUUCCUAAGUUUUUCUAGGUCACACCCAUUAUCUUUCCUGGGCCAUUAGCUCAGGUGGUUAGAGCGCACCCCUGAUAAGGGUGAGGUCCCUGGUUCAAGUCCAGGAUGGCCCAUAUCUCUAUGUUGGGGGUACAGCUCAGUUGGUAGAGCGCCUGCUUUGCAAGCAGGAUGUCAGCGGUUCGAGUCCGCUUACCUCCACUGAUUACCACCUCUUCCAUAAUCUGUAGAAAGGAAAUUUUUUGAGUUGUGAUCAAUUUCUGAACGAAUCUAGCUUCCUAAUGUAAGCAUUAAGAUGCUGGACUCAUUGAAUUAGUUUCAUUGUUUUCAGAGAACCUUGACAACUGCAUAGAUUAUUUUUAAAGACAAUAAGCAUCUUUAAUGAUGCAGAUUUAUUAUUUGUGCAAAUGCAUUAAUAACAAUUCUAUUAAGCUGAUGCUUCAAUUUUGAAGUUAUUGGUCAAGCUACAA
rnacentral:misc_RNA from 1 species